UACAGAGGUCUCAAGCGUUGUUCGGAUUCAUUGGGCGUAAAGGGUGCGUAGGUGGUGCCGUAAGUCAGGUGUGAAAUCUCGGGGCUCAACCCCGAAACUGCACUUGAUACUGCGGUGCUUGAGGACUGGAGAGGAGAUCGGAAUUCAUGGUGUAGCAGUGAAAUGCGUAGAUAUCAUGAGGAAGACCAGUGGCGAAGGCGGAUCUCUGGACAGUUCCUGACACUGAGGCACGAAGGCCAGGGGAGCAAACGGG
rnacentral:rRNA from 1 species